rnacentral:lncRNA from 1 species
CAGGUAUCUACCCAGUUUUGUGCUCAAUGGGAUCAGAGCAGCCCUGAUGUUGGAGGGAGACCACAUUGCUAUGGAAUGAUCCCUUUGUACAUUGAUUAGAAUAAGGUUGGGUGGGGAGAGCCAAACUGAAAAUGCCAGGAAGCAGAAGGGCAGAGUCAGGAGUCACCAGCCAGACUCAAAAUGAGUUGGACACAUAAAAUGGGAUAGAGGUAAAAGCCAUGAGCCUUGGGGAAGUACAUAGAUUAGUAGACAUGGGUUAAGUUGUGUGAGCUAGUUAGUAACAAGACUGAGCUAUUGGUCAAGCAUUUAUAAUUAAUAUAAGUCUCCAUGUUAGUCAUUUGGGGGCAGGCAGUAGGGACAGGAAAAUUCUGUCAACACCACAUGGCAUGGCCUCCAUCCCCCCUCCCAACUUUCUGGAAACCUUUCUGCCAGCACCUCUCUCUGAGCCUCCUAGUCAAUCUCUAAAACUAGCUGGCUGUUUCAGCCCAACCUAACGAAAGAGAAAUGUCUAGAUACCUUCAUGUGUGUGCUGCUGUUCUUGCCCGCCUAGAACAGGCACAGUCACAGGCUGCCUUUGAAUAGUCCCUGGGGAUGGUGUGGAUCCAGUUCCCAGCCAGCCCUAGAGCCUCCCUUGGUUCUGACUAUACCCUCAGGCUCUCACUGAGCUUGCCAGACCCCCUUCACUGUAGCUUGCCAGGCCUGCUGUUGCCUGCCCCAACUUCCUCAGUCCUGCCUUAUCUAAAGGGCCCUUUCACCCCUGAGGUGGACUGCUACCACGAUUGCCUAGGAAAGUAGGGUACCCUUGGUCUGGCCCAGUGUACCUUUCUCUAGACAUGCUUCUCCAUUUGUGGAAUGGAAACUCCGACCCUGGCCCUUGCCAGCUGUAGGAUGGAAGAUGGAGACAAGCCCACAGCAGAGCUCCAAGGAGAAAGAUUUGUGCUCCUGUCAUCAGCCUUGAUUAGAGAAGCUUCCUUCUGCGGUGGCAAAGUACUGUGGAAUAUGAAUUUAAGAUGUGUUACAUUUGUUAAUGCUGUGGAAUGGUUGUUUAAUGAUGCAAAGACGUGUCUGUAAGAAUUCAGGCAUUAUGCUGGCCCACCCCGUCACCUGGCAGAAUGCACUCAGGCAGUACCCUGGUCAGCCCAGGGUUCCAUGAUUGCCUAGUCUGUACGCAGGUGCAAAGGACCCUUUUAAAAGAAAGACACCCUCCCCCCACAUAAGCUCUCUUUCCCUCUCUCUUUCCUGCUAUUAUUCCUCUGGGGCAGACAGGACUUUUCCUGUCUCACUCUUCUCUUCACCUCUUUCCUCCCCUCCCCCCCUUUCCUUUCCUAAUAAAACUUCUCACUUAA